CUUUCAAGCUUCCUUUGUAAAGUUGAAAUAGGCUCCCAAAGAUAUGUUGACAAGUUUUCAGGUGACAAUGUGAAAGCACAAGAAAAGCAACGAAUACAGUUGAAUCUGAGUUCACCUAAUGCACCUAGAUGAUUGUGCAAUAGAGUACGGUCGGUAAGAUGGAUAUCUGUGACAUAUUCCGAAACUUACCAUGCCCGGAGAUCUCAAACUACAACAAAUUCUAGCUGAAAAGAAUCUGUCUCAUUC